UACAGAGGGUGCAAGCAUUAAUCGGAUUUAUUGGGCGUAAAGGGCGCGUAGGCGGAUGGAUUAGUCAGAUGUGAAAUCCCGGGGCUCAACCCCGGAACAGCAUUUGAAACUGUCGAUCUAGAGGGUAGGAGGAGAAAAUGGAAUUCCACGUGUAGCGGUGAAAUGCGUAGAUAUGUGGAAGAACACCGGUGGCGAAGGCGAUUUUCUAUCUUAUACCUGACGCUGAGGCGCGAAAGCAAGAGGAUCAAACAGG
rnacentral:rRNA from 2 species